rfam:Bacillus sp. SG-1 1101501000801, whole genome shotgun sequence.
CUUUCCUUUUAAAGACAGUCCAGAGAGGCUGGCAAAGGAAUCUCAAUAGAGUUUCACAGCAUGUGAACCUUAUUGCAGAACCCUCUUUGCGCCCUCUUGCAGAGAGGUUUUUUUUAU